rnacentral:rRNA from 1 species
UACGUAGGGGGCGAGCGUUGUCCGGAUUCAUUGGGCGUAAAGCGCGCGUAGGCGGCUCCGCAAGUCGGCCGUGAAAUCUCCGGGCUCAACUCGGAGGGGUCGGGCGAGACUGCGGGGCUCGAGGUGGGCAGAGGGCAGUGGAAUUCCGGGUGUAGUGGUGGAAUGCGUAGAGAUCCGGAGGAACACCGGUGGCGAAGGCAGCAUCCUGGACCGGCAUUGACACUGAGGCGCGAAAGCCAGGGGAGCAAACGGG